rnacentral:rRNA from 1 species
AGAGUUUGAUUAUGGCUCAGGAUGAACGCUGGCGGCGUGCUUAACACAUGCAAGUCGAACGAAGCACUUAGGACAGAUUACUUCGGUUUGAAGUCCUAUUUGACUGAGUGGCGGACGGGUGAGUAACGCGUGGGUAACCUGCCUCAUACAGGGGGAUAACAGUUAGAAAUGACUGCUAAUACCGCAUAAGCGCACGGUCUCGCAUGGGACAGUGUGAAAAACUCCGGUGGUAUGAGAUGGACCCGCGUCUGAUUAGCUGGUUGGUGAGGUAAGGGCUCACCAAGGCGACGAUCAGUAGCCGGCCUGAGAGGGUGAACGGCCACAUUGGGACUGAGACACGGCCCAAACUCCUACGGGAGGCAGCAGUGGGGAAUAUUGCACAAUGGGGGAAACCCUGAUGCAGCGACGCCGCGUGAAGGAAGAAGUAUUUCGGUAUGUAAACUUCUAUCAGCAGGGAAGAAAAUGACGGUACCUGACUAAGAAGCCCCGGCUAACUACGUGCC